rnacentral:rRNA from 1 species
UACAGAGGUCUCAAGCGUUGUUCGGAUUCAUUGGGCGUAAAGGGUGCGCAGGUGGCGAGGCAAGUCGGAUGUGAAAUCCCGGGGCUCAACCCCGGAACUGCAUUCGAUACUGCCUUGCUAGAGUGCUGGAGAGGAGAUUGGAAUUUACGGUGUAGCAGUGAAAUGCGUAGAGAUCAUGAGGAAGACCAGUGGCGAAGGCGGGUCUCUGGACAGUUCCUGACACUGAGACACGAAGGCCAGGGGAGCAAACGGG